UACGUAGGGUGCGAGCGUUAAUCGGAAUUACUGGGCGUAAAGCGUGCGCAGGCGGUUCGUUAAGUCAGAUGUGAAAGCCCCGGGCUCAACCUGGGAACUGCGUUUGAAACUGGAAGGCUAGAGUGUGGCAGAGGGGGGUGGAAUUCCACGUGUAGCAGUGAAAUGCGUAGAGAUGUGGAGGAACACCGAUGGCGAAGGCAGCCCCCUGGGCUAACACUGACGCUCAUGCACGAAAGCGUGGGGAGCAAACAGG
rnacentral:rRNA from 1 species